GAUGAAGAACGCAGCGAAAUGCGAUAAGUAAUGUGAAUUGCAGAAUUCAGUGAAUCAUCGAAUCUUUGAACGCACCUUGCGCCCUUUGGACAUUCCGAAGGGCAUGCCUGUUUGAGUAUCAUGAACACCUCAACUCUCACGGCUUGUCCGUGAUGAGCUUGGACUUUGGGGGUCUUGCCGGCCUGUGGUCGGCUCCUCUCAAAUGGAUCAGCUUGCCAGUGUUUGGUGGCAUCACAGGUGUAAUAACUAUCUGCGCUUGUGGUUUUCCAUCAGAUAACCUUCAGUGAUAUGGAGGUUCGCUGGAGCUCACAAAUGUCUCUCCUUAGUGAGGACAGCUCUUUGAACGUUUGAUCUCAAAUCAGGUAGGACUACCCGCUGAACUUAAGCAUAUCAAUAAGCGGAGGA
rnacentral:misc_RNA from 1 species